rnacentral:rRNA from 1 species
GACGAACGCUGGCGGCGUGCCUAAUACAUGCAAGUCGAGCGAAUGGAUUAAGAGCUUGCUCUUAUGAAGUUAGCGGCGGACGGGUGAGUAACACGUGGGUAACCUGCCCAUAAGACUGGGAUAACUCCGGGAAACCGGGGCUAAUACUGGAUAACAUUUUGAACCGCAUGGGUCGAAAUUGAAAGGCGGCUUCGGCUGUCACUUAUGGAUGGACCCGCGUCGCAUUAGCUAGUUGGUGAGGUAACGGCUCACCAAGGCAACGAUGCGUAGCCGACCUGAGAGGGUGAUCGGCCACACUGGGACUGAGACACGGCCCAGACUCCUACGGGAGGCAGCAGUAGGGAAUCUUCCGCAAUGGACGAAAGUCUGACGGAGCAACGCCGCGUGAGUGAUGAAGGCUUUCGGGUCGUAAAACUCUGUUGUUAGGGAAGAACAAGUGCUAGUUGAAUAAGCUGGCACCUUGACGGUACCUAACCAGAAAGCCACGGCUAACUACGUGCCAGCCGCCGCAGUAA